CGAACGGCAGCACAGGGGAGCUUGCUCCAUGGGUGGCGAGGGGCGGACGGGUGAGGAAUACAUGGGAAUCUGCCCAGUCGGGGGGGAUAACGUAUGGAAACGUACGCUAAUACCGCAUGCGCCCUUCGGGGGAAAGUCGGGGACCGCAGGGCCUGACGCGAUUGGAUGAGCCCAUGUUCGAUUAGCUAGUUGGCGGGGUAACGGCCCACCAAGGCGACAAUCGAUAGCUGGUCUGAGAGGAUGAUCAGCCACACUGGAACUGAAACACGGUCCAAACUCCUACGGGAGGCAGCAGUAGGGAAUAUUGGACAAUGGGCGCAAGCCUGAUCCAGCCAUGCCGCGUGAGUGAAAAAGGCCCUCGGGUUGUAAAGCUCUUUUGUUGGGAAAAAAAAGCAGUUGGUUAAUACCCGAUUGUUCUGACGGUACCCAAAGAAUAAGCACCGGCUAACUUCGUG
rnacentral:rRNA from 1 species